AGACCGAUAGCGAACAAGUAGAGUGAUCGAAAGAUGAAAAGCACUUUGGAAAGAGAGUUAAACAGUACGUGAAAUUGUUGAAAGGGAAGCGCUUGCAACCAGACUUGCGGGCGGUCGAUCAUCCGAGGUUCUCCCCGGUGCACUCGAUCGUUCUCAGGCCAGCAUCGGUUUCCGGGGUGGGAUAAAGGCGGUGGGAAUGUGGCUCUUCGGAGUGUUAUAGCCCACCGUGCAAUGCCGCCACUGGGGACCGAGGACCGCGCUUCGGCUAGGAUGCUGGCGUAAUGGUUGUAAGCGACCCGUCUUGAAACACGGACCAAG
rnacentral:rRNA from 1 species